rnacentral:rRNA from 1 species
UGGGGAAUUUUGGACAAUGGGCGCAAGCCUGAUCCAGCCAUGCCGCGUGCGGGAAGAAGGCCUUCGGGUUGUAAACCGCUUUUGUCAGGGAAGAAAUCUUCUGAGUUAAUACCUCGGGAGGAUGACGGUACCUGAAGAAUAAGCACCGGCUAACUACGUGCCAGCAGCCGCGGUAAUACGUAGGGUGCAAGCGUUAAUCGGAAUUACUGGGCGUAAAGCGUGCGCAGGCGGUUUUGUAAGACAGAGGUGAAAUCCCCGGGCUCAACCUGGGAACUGCCUUUGUGACUGCAAGGCUUGAGUGCGGCAGAGGGGGAUGGAAUUCCGCGUGUAGCAGUGAAAUGCGUAGAUAUGCGGAGGAACACCGAUGGCGAAGGCAAUCCCCUGGGCCUGCACUGACGCUCAUGCACGAAAGCGUGGGGAGCAAAACAGGAUUAGAUACCCUGGUAGUCCACGCCCUAAACGAUGUCAACUGGUUGUUGGGAAGGUUCCUUCUCAGUAACGUAGCUAACGCGUGAAGUUGACCGCCUGGGGAGUACGGCCGCAAGGUUGAAAACUCAAAGGAAUUGACGGGGUCA